UGUGUAAAACACUCGCUUCUGACUGGCUAAAAUACCCAAAUUUUGCAAAUUUUAAAGGCUAAUAAUUUUUUUUAAUUAUGGAUUUAUAGGGAAAAUGAAUUUCAUUUUCAUAAUUAGUAGACAAAACUUAAUCCAUAAACCAAAUUUGAAAACAAUUGGAACAAAAUUGUAAACAUUGACGAAAACCACAAAGAUCCGGAAUCAAAUAACUUUGAGAGGCCCAACCUAUGUGUAACUUAAUAGCACCACAUGGUGAUUCUUUUAGUCGUAUAUGGGGCACCAUGACCCACUCUAGCAAAGUGUUUGUAUUGUUGGAGACAUAUCCGGGUGUAGGAGGUUGGUCCGGGUUUUUUGAAGAAAUUUAUCCAGCGAACUUUUGAAUUUUAUGGGAACCGUUUUGACGUAUUUUGGUUUUAAAGAGAGCUGGACCGGUUGAGCACGCCACCGCGGUUUUGUCAAACUCGAACACUUACGUACGCUUUGCGGCCAAAAGUGGCAGCCGAAUUAUAGCGUUUACAAUCGGAAGGUAUUAUUGAUCCAGUUCAAUACUCUGAUUAGGAAGUUCCCAUUGUACCAGUGAUGAAACCGGAAGGCUCAGUGCACAUUUACGGAGAUUAUAAACUUACAGUCAACCAGUCAGCUGUUUUAGACAAGUACCCGUUGCCAAAAAUAGAAGAUUUGUACACGACUCUGGCGGGGGGCCAAAAGUUCGCAAGAAUUGAUCUCAGUCAUGCAUAUUCCCAGAUUGAACUUGAUGACAAUUCUCGUGCUUGCACUACGAUUGCUAUUCAUAUUGGGUUGUUUCAAUUUUUCUAGAUUACCAUUUGGAAUUAAUCCAGCCCCAGGAAUGUUUCAACGCAUUAUCGACAACAUUGUUAAAGAUGUUUCAUUGUCUUGUGCAUACCGAGAUGAUUUACUAAUCACCGGGCGUUCCGAUGAUGAACAUCUUCAGACAUUGUCCAUCGUACUCGAUCGUCUUCACAAAAGCGAAUUAAAACUGAAGAAGAAUUAAA